rnacentral:rRNA from 1 species
UACAGAGGUCUCAAGCGUUGUUCGGAUUCAUUGGGCGUAAAGGGUGCGUAGGUGGCGCUGUAAGUCAGGUGUGAAAUUUCGGAGCUUAACUCCGAAACUGCAUUUGAUACUGCGGUGCUCGAGGACUGGAGAGGAGACUGGAAUUUACAGUGUAGCAGUGAAAUGCGUAGAGAUCGUAAGGAAGACCAGUGGCGAAGGCGGGUCUCUGGACAGUUCCUGACACUGAGGCACGAAGGCCAGGGGAGCAAACGGG